GACGAACGCUGGCGGCGUGCUUAACACAUGCAAGUCGAACGGAAAGGCCCUGCUUUUGUGGGGUGCUCGAGUGGCGAACGGGUGAGUAACACGUGAGUAACCUGCCCUUGACUUUGGGAUAACUUCAGGAAACUGGGGCUAAUACCGGAUAGGAGCUCCUGCUGCAUGGUGGGGGUUGGAAAGUUUCGGCGGUUGGGGAUGGACUCGCGGCUUAUCAGCUUGUUGGUGGGGGAGUGGCUUACCAAGGCAUUGACGGGUAGCCGGCCUGAGAGGGUGACCGGGCACAUGGGGACUGAGAGACGGAGCAGACGCCUACGGGAGGCAGCAGUGGGGAAUAUUGCACAAUGGGCGGAAGCCUGAUGCAGCAACGUCGCGUGCGGGAUGACGGCCUUCGGGUUGUAAACCGCUUUCGCCUGUGACGAAGCGUGAGUGACGGUAAUGGGUAAAGAAGCACCGGCUAACUACGUG
rnacentral:rRNA from 1 species